rnacentral:rRNA from 1 species
GACGAACGCUGGCGGCGUGCUUAACACAUGCAAGUCGAACGGGAAGGCCCUGCUUUUGUGGGGUGCUCGAGUGGCGAACGGGUGAGUAACACGUGAGUAACCUGCCCUUGACUUUGGGAUAACUUCAGGAACCUGGUGCUAAUACCGGAUAGGAGCUCCUGCUGCAUGGUGGGGGUUGGAAAGUUUCGGCGGUUGGGGAUGGACUCGCGGCUUAUCAGCUUGUUGGUGGGGUAGUGGCUUACCAAGGCUUUGACGGGUAGCCGGCCUGAGCGGGUGACCGGCCACAUUGGGACUGAGAUACGGCCCAGACUCCUACGGGAGGCAGAAGUGGGGAAUAUUGCACAAUGGGCGGAAGCCUGAUGCAGCAACGCCGCGUGCGGGAUGACGGCCUUCGGGUUGUAAACCGCUUUCGCCUGUGACGAAGCGUGAGUGACGGUAAUGGGUAAAGAAGCACCGGCUAACUACGUG